rnacentral:rRNA from 1 species
CUACGGGGUGCUGCAGUGAGGAAUAUUGCACAAUGGGGGGAACCCUGAUGCAGCAACGCCGCGUGGAGGAUGACGCAUUUCGGUGUGUAAACUCCUUUUAUAUGUCAAGAAAAUGACGGUAGCACAUGAAUAAGCACCGGCUAACUCCGUGCCAGCAGCCGCGGUAAUACGGAGGGUGCAAGCGUUACUCGGAAUCACUGGGCGUAAAGGACGCGUAGGCGGGUUGGAAAGUCAGGUGUGAAAUCCUACAGCUUAACUGUAGAACUGCACUUGAAACUUCUAAUCUAGAGUAUGGGAGGGGGAGAUGGAAUUAGUGGUGUAGGGGUAAAAUCCGUAGAUAUCACUAGGAAUACCUAAAGCGAAGGCGAUCUCCUGGAACAUUACUGACGCUAAGGCGUGAAGCGUGGGGAGCAAACAGGAUUAGAUACCCUAGUAGUC